rnacentral:rRNA from 5 species
CGUUGGUGAACCAGCGGAGGGAUCAUU